CCUACGGGAGGCAGCAGUGGGGGAUAUUGCACAAUGGGGGGAACCCUGAUGCAGCGACGCCGCGUGGGUGAAGAAGCGCCUCGGCGCGUAAAGCCCUGUCAGCAGGGAAGAAAAUGACGGUACCUGAAGCAGAAGCCCCGGCUAACUACGUUCCAGCAGCCGCGGUAAUACCUAGGGGGCAAGCGUUAUCCGGAUGUACUGGGUGUAAAGGGGGCGCAGACGGCGAUGCACGCCAGGGGUGAAAGCCGGGGGCCCAACCCCGGGACUGCUUUUGGAACUGCGUGGCUGGAGUGCAGGAGGGGCAGGCGGAAUUCCUGGUGUAGCGGUGAAAUGCGUAGAUAUCAGGAGGAACACCGGUGGCGAAGGCGGCCUGCUGGACUGCAACUGACGUUGAGGCCCGAAAGCGUGGGGAGCAAACAGGAUUAGAUACCCGAGUAGUC
rnacentral:rRNA from 1 species